rnacentral:siRNA from 1 species
UACAACUGGUAUAAGUGACUUCAU